rnacentral:misc_RNA from 1 species
GAUGAAGAACGCAGCGAAGUGCGAUAAGUAGUGUGAAUUGCAGAAUUCAGUGAAUCAUCGAAUCUUUGAACGCACAUUGCGCCCCUUGGUAUUCCAUGGGGCAUGCCUGUUCGAGCGUCAUUUGUACCUUCAAGCUCUGCUUGGUGUUGGGUGUUUGUCUCGCCUCUGCGUGUAGACUCGCCUUAAAACAAUUGGCAGCCGGCGUAUUGAUUUCGGAGCGCAGUACAUCUCGCGCUUUGCACUCAUAACGACGACGUCCAAAAGUACAUUUUUACACUCUUGACCUCGGAUCAGGUAGGGAUACCCGCUGAACUUAAGCAUAUCAAUAAGCGGAGGA